GAUACUCCUCAAAGGAGGUUUCCUCUGCUCUCAUGUAAGGACCUUCUUGCUCCGUCUUCCUUUCUGGUGAAGACGGUUCCACGGGUCAUAACUCAGAAAUCAACUGAAGCUGGAAUGUGACACCUGAACAAAAAAUUGCAACACUUCGUCACCAAAUUCGGCUGGUCUUCAGAGCUGAACAGCUGAUUUUAAAGCUAUCUGGAUGUUUUGCCAGAAGUGAAGGUUUUUUUCCCAUCAACUUGAAUUAAGGACCCAGCCAUGCAGCU